rnacentral:rRNA from 1 species
AUUGAACGCUGGCGGCAUGCCUUACACAUGCAAGUCGAACGGUAACAGGUCUUCGGAUGCUGACGAGUGGCGAACGGGUGAGUAAUACAUCGGAACGUGCCUAGUAGUGGGGGAUAACUACUCGAAAGAGUGGCUAAUACCGCAUGAGAUCUACGGAUGAAAGCAGGGGAUCGCAAGACCUUGUGCUACUAGAGCGGCCGAUGGCAGAUUAGGUAGUUGGUGGGAUAAAAGCUUACCAAGCCGACGAUCUGUAGCUGGUCUGAGAGGACGAUCAGCCACACUGGGGCUGAGACACGGCCGAGACUCCUACGGGAGGCAGCAGUGGGGAAUUUUGGACAAUGGGCGCAAGCCUGAUUGAGCAAUGCCGCGUGCAGGAUGGAGGCCUUCGGGUUGUAAACUGCUUUUGUACGGAACGAAAAGCCCUGGGUUAAUACCCUGGGGUCAUGACGGUACCGUAAGAAUAAGCACCGGCUAACUACGUGCCAGCCGCCGCCGUAAGAC